GAUGAACGCUGGCGGCGUGCCUAAUACAUGCAAGUCGAACGGACAGGCCCUGAGCUUGCGCCUCUCUCGUUUGCCGCACACGUGUGUGACACACGUGUAUCCCCUCCCUAUCAUUCUGGUAACUUUUCGAAAAUCCGGCGAUAAUCCGGUAUGAUCUCUUGCUGCGCGGGGGUCGAUGGUAAGAUUCGGCGGUUGGGGAUGGACUCGCUGCUUAUCAGCUUGUUGGUGGGGUAGUGGCUUACCAAGGCUUUGACGGGUAGCCGGCCUGAGAGGGUGACCGGCCACAUUGGGACUGAGAUACGGCCCAGACUCCUACGGGAGGCAGCAGUGGGGAAUAUUGCACAAUGGGCGGAAGCCUGAUGCAGCAACGCCGCGUGCGGGAUGACGGCCUUCGGGUUGUAAACCGCUUUCGCCUGUGACGAAGCGUGAGUGACGGUAAUGGGUAAAGAAGCACCGGCUAACUACGUG
rnacentral:rRNA from 1 species